rnacentral:lncRNA from 1 species
UAACUUUUUGACCAGGUAGAUAAGGGGAAAGAAAAAAAAACAGUUUAAAAAUGCCUGGGGAAGAACUUCUUAUUCUUAUGCAAGUGGUUCCUCCACCGGGAAGAGAAGUUUAAGCUUAAUUACUGUCCAAUAGAGUUAAACACCUUGACCAUGGAUGGAGAAGGCUACGGCAGCAGCAUGUGGCUGGGAACCAGCCAGCCAGCUGUGCAGGACUCUUGGGCCAUACUUCCCAGCCCUGGCAGGGCGGGGAGAUGCUGCUCUGUGGUGGGUCCUGAAAAAGGAAGGAAAAGGCCAUGAAAAGGCCCAGGAGUGAUGGGAAAGAGGGGAUGGGGGUGUGGAAAAGGCUUAGAAGCAGCAAUGAGAGGUUUUGAGUCCCCGUUUCACUCACUGCUUCUCGAGCCCCAUGUUGGGCGCCAAAAAUGUUGCAGGACUUUUCUUUAGUUCAGCUAAAGGUGGGGUUCUUUGAAAAUUCAGGCUCGCAGACAAUUUGAAUGGUGAGUGAGACAGGAUUUUAUUGAGUGAAAAGGAAGCAAAGGGGGAAACAGGGACUCUUAUUAGGCCAGGGUCCCUGCUAGAGUGUUUCUCCCCCACAGCUCAAAUGCCAGGCUCCAUGCAGGAAGAGGAGGGGCCAAGCUCAGGCUCUCCCUGCUGCAAACGUCUUGAACUUCCUGAGGCUGCACCUCAGUGGGGAGGCUAGUUGGAGUUUCUCCAGGGACCCCUUCCCACCUGGCUGUCUCAUCAUCAGGUGACCCCUCUUCUCAUCCCAAAGCACUGAGCUUUUGUCUAUAAAUUACAAAUUUUAUCAGGAAUUCCAGCAACAUAUUGAAACUAAAAAUAAAAACAAACCAUUGGGGGUAUUUUUAAAACUUCA